AGUGAACGCUGGCGGUAGGCCUAACACAUGCAAGUCGAACGGCAGCACAGUAAGAGCUUGCUCUUACGGGUGGCGAGUGGCGGACGGGUGAGGAAUACAUCGGAAUCUACUUUUUCGUGGGGGAUAACGUAGGGAAACUUACGCUAAUACCGCAUACGACCAACGGGUGAAAGCAGGGGAUCUUCGGACCUUGCGCGAUUGAAUGAGCCGAUGUCGGAUUAGCUAGUUGGCGGGGUAAAGGCCCACCAAGGCGACGAUCCGUAGCUGGUCUGAGAGGAUGAUCAGCCACACUGGAACUGAGACACGGUCCAGACUCCUACGGGAGGCAGCAGUGGGGAAUAUUGGACAAUGGGCGCAAGCCUGAUCCAGCCAUACCGCGUGGGUGAAGAAGGCCUUCGGGUUGUAAAGCCCUUUUGUUGGGAAAGAAAAGCAGCAGGUUAAUACCCCGCUGUUCUGACGGUACCCAAAGAAUAAGCACCGGCUAACUUCGUG
rnacentral:rRNA from 1 species